GACGAACGCUGGCGGCGUGCUUAACACAUGCAAGUCGAACGGAAAGGCCCUGCUUGCAGGGUACUCGAGUGGCGAACGGGUGAGUAACACGUGGGUGAUCUGCCCCGCACUUCGGGAUAAGCUUGGGAAACUGGGUCUAAUACCGGAUAGGAGCACUCUUUAGUGUGGUGGUUGGAAAGUUUUUUCGGUGUAGGAUGAGCUCGCGGCCUAUCAGCUUGUUGGUGGGGUAAUGGCCUACCAAGGCGGCGACGGGGAGCCGGCCUGAGAGAGUGUACGGCCACAUUGGGACUCUGAGACGGCCCAGACUCCUACAGGAGGCAGCAGUGGGGAAUAUUUCACAAUGGGCGCCAGCCUGAGUCAGCGACGCCGCGUGGGUGAUGAAGGCCUUCGGGUUGUAAACACCUUUCGCUAGGGACGAAGCGUUGUUGUGACGGUACCUAGAUAAGAAGCACCGGCUAACUACGUG
rnacentral:rRNA from 1 species